AUCUCAAGAAUUCUCCAGGACCUGGAAAACGGGAGCUUAGGUUGGCCACCAGCCAGGCUCUCCAAUUGCUUCAGGACAAUUAUCCUGAGUUUGUAGCUAAACAGGUGUUCAUCAACGUCCCUUGGUGGUAUCUUGCUUUCUAUACAAUGAUCAGUCCAUUCAUGACCCAGAGGACCAAAAGCAAAUUUGUAUUUGCAGGCCCAUCAAAAUCUGCUGAGACCCUUUUCAAAUAUAUAUCACCUGAGCAAGUGCCUAUUCAGUAUGGNNNNNNNNUGUGGAUUACUGUGAUUGCAACCCUGAAUUUACUGUUGCCGAUCCUGCAACUGAGAUAACUGUGAAACC
rnacentral:misc_RNA from 1 species